CAUAACGCCCUCUUCAUUGACCAAACCCAGUGACUGAAAUGAAGCAUCCUCUUUACUAAAAUCCUCCUGGUGGGGACUAUAGGGAGAAUAGCUCCUUAUACACGUACAAGCCCUGCUGCAGCUCAAGCCUCCCUGAUCUGCAUGCUAUGGGGCUGUGGGUGGGGAGCCAUGAUUCCUCAGCCUCAUCUGACUUGCUGGAGCCCUUCUUUGCUGGUGAACAUCCUUUAUGUGGACCACGUAGCAUCCUUUCCUGCAUCUGCCGAGUUCCAGCCACACUUCCUCUCCCUCUGCUCCACACCGACCUGGAAGGCAGGGUGUCUUCCACUGCAUGGGGACAGUACACCUGCAGUAGGAGGGAGCAUUGCCAGCACAUGCAGAAGCAAGGACAAGAGUCAUGGAGAGAGACACCUGCCAGUUUGGGUGCCUCUGGGUAAGACCAAUUUGGAAGGCCCCAGCUGGGACAGUUUGAUGCCAGCAUUGCUAUAGCACCUCCCUGGCUGAUGCUGGCGAUAGAAGAAAAUGGAAAUCCUACCUUGGGAAAGACAGAAAGGAUGAUGGAUUCCCUUGAUGUAGGAGAAAGAGAGCAUUGCUGAAGAGUUGUGUGCUGUAUAUCUUCAUCAACGUCUGGACAGGGGAAAGUGAAAGCCGGAAUCAAUUCCGAGGAACACCGUCAGGAAGGGGGCGUGGUUGGUAUGGUUUUAGGGGAGGAUGGUGUUAAAUCAAGCUCAUAAUUUCCAAAGUGCCACCAAUCAAAAUCAACUCCAAACAAGGCUUUCGUAAAAUUUUAAAAGAACAUUUUAAUGAUGAAAUGACCAUCUUUGAGAUUAUUUUGCAAGUAAUUGAGUAAAAUUCCCUAGUGAAAAAUGUUUGGCAUCAAGUUCUUGAAAAUGCUUCCUCCCCUUUGUUCCUAAUGGACAGAAGCACAAACAGUCUCUAAUCACAUGAAACACAACUCUCCUUUCCAGCCUGUAAUUAUGGUGGGGACCCGGAGAGAUGCUAGUUAAGGACUCUGUCAACUUGUCUAUUAAAAGAGCUGGAGUUA